rnacentral:rRNA from 1 species
AUUGAACGCUGGCGGCAGGCCUAACACAUGCAAGUCGAGCGGAUGAAGGGAGCUUGCUCCUGGAUUCAGCGGCGGACGGGUGAGUAAUGCCUAGGAAUCUGCCUGGUAGUGGGGGAUAACGUCCGGAAACGGGCGCUAAUACCGCAUACGUCCUGAGGGAGAAAGUGGGGGAUCUUCGGACCUCACGCUAUCAGAUGAGCCUAGGUCGGAUUAGCUAGUUGGUGGGGUAAAGGCCUACCAAGGCGACGAUCCGUAACUGGUCUGAGAGGAUGAUCAGUCACACUGGAACUGAGACCCGGUCCAGACUCCUACGGGAGGCAGCAGUGGGGAAUAUUGGACAAUGGGCGAAAGCCUGAUCCAGCCAUGCCGCGUGUGUGAAGAAGGUCUUCGGAUUGUAAAGCACUUUAAGUUGGGAGGAAGGGCAGUAAGUUAAUACCUUGCUGUUUUGACGUUACCAACAGAAUAAGCACCGGCUAACUUCG